GAGACCAGGACUAAGAGGCAGCACGUGGAGAACAUCCAGAAGCGUCCAUCAGUCAGAGUCGCCCUGCCCAGCCCACCCUCCAUCCCGGGGGCCAGGGCAUAGGGGUUCCCUGUCCAUCUUGGCCAAGUUCAUCUGAUCUGCAGAUGGGGAGCCUGCCUGGCACGAAUCCUAUGGUCCCUGCUUCCUUUGGGAAAUCAAGAGCAAAGCUCGCUCCCAACUCAUGGUGUUCCCCAAGCAGAAUAGAGGCCGGCUGUGUGCGUUGAAGAAAUGAAUGAAGUGAUCGGGAGCUGAGUGCCAGCGGAGACCGGCCCCCUUGGGCAUAUGUGAAAACCUGAGGACCCCACUGAACUUUCAAAAUCCAAAGAAGAGAAUCCUGAGGAAAGAUCUGUAUCAUUUGCUGGGGUGUAAGAUGUGCAAGGAUAUUAACAAUUUAACAAACACAUAUCAAAGGGAGGUAUAAGUAUGAUUUUCCAUGAUAAUUUUCUAUUGGAAGCAUGAAUGAUACAUAGACAUAUAUUUUCUUGAUCUGGUUUAGUAAAGUAUUAUUAAUAUUAGAUAACCAAAUUCCUACUGUAACCCAGAGGGCUAAAUUGUAUGAACAAUGUUGUCUGAUGUCCUGGUUGCCAGGCACUGUGGACAGCCACCCCAAAGUCCUCCCCACCUCUUCUUCCUGGCCCUCUCCAGGCAGAUGGGAUGGAAACUCAGAACUUGACUGACAUUCCCAGCCUCCUUUGAAGUUCUGAGCCACCUCAGGGCUCCUCACCAGAAUCAGCUCUCGGGAGCCAGGCUUCUCUUACUCAGAACCAGUGCAGGCUUCAGGCCCCACACCUCCUGCUCGGCCUCCUCUGGCCUCGGUUGAUGAGUUGGAAGCUCCCUCCCCUGCCUCCCUGCGCCCAGGCUCACAAACCUGUCACUGGAUGUCUUUAUUUAGUGAGCUUUCCUGCCCAAGCCUGCUUCCAGGGCAGGAUGUAUUGAUACAAAAUCCAUCACUUAGUGUGUCUGGGCAUUUAAUCAAUGAGGCUGCAGGGAGCCCCGCGUGACUCAGAGGGUGCCGGGAGUGAAGGCCAGGCGAGAAGAGCAUCCAGAGUGUGUGGAAGGGUGGUUUUUAUUUUUGAUCCUGUAAUGUCAGGCUCCAGCAAUUAGACGUCUACUCCCUGUAAUGCUGGCACUGCAGCAGAAUUCCACCACAACCUGGAUAUUUGCCCAGGUACUCAUUUUAUAACUCCCAUGUUCAUUCAAUAAAUACCCUACCUGUAUCCUAUGUGCCAGACACAGAUCCAGAUGCUGAGAAGAGUCAACUAACAGCUCACAGGUCACACUGAGCUUUUGCUCCCUAAUGGAAUGAUGGUGAUGAUGGUGUUCGUGAUGAUGAUGGUCAUGAUGGUGAUGGUGAUGGUUGUGAUGGGGAUGGUGAUGAUUGUUAUGAUGGUAAUGAUGGUGAUGAUGAUGGGAUGAUGAUGGUGAUAAUGAUGGUAAUGAGAGUGAUGGUGAUGGGAUGAUGGUGAUGAUGGUGAUGGUGUUGGUGAUGGAGAUGAGAUAAUGGCGAUGGUGAUGGGAUGAUGGCAAUGCUGCUUAUGGUGAUGGUGAUGAUGAUGGUGAUGAUGAUGACGGUGAUGAUGAUGAUGAUGGUGACAUGAUGAUGAUGAUGGUGAUGUGAUGAUGAUGAUGGUGAUGUGGUGAUAUGGUGGUGAUGGUAAUGGUGAUGGCAGUGAUGGUGAUAAUUAAGGUGAUGGUGAUGGUGACGAUAACGGUGGUGAUGGCGGUGGUGAUGGUGGUGAUGGUGAUGAUGGUGAUAAUGGUGAUCAUGACAGUGUCAGCAGAGGAAGCAGGCACAGUAGUAGCAAUCUGAAUAAACAUUACACAGCCCUUACUAUGCAACAGAUGCUAUUCUGGGCACCUCCCAUAUGUCAGGUCACUCAACUGACACGACAUCACCUGAGGUAAGUGCUCAUGAUCUCCAUUUGAUAAAUGAGAAACUGAGGCACAGAGAAGUUAAGUCACCUUCCUAAAAGCACACAGGAUGUGCUAGUGCUGGGAUUCAGAGCAAGCGCCUCAUCCCAUAAGCAGUGGACUCAGAAACAACACCAUAAACUAAUAGGCAAAUACUUUUAGACAGUGACGAGUAUUAUGAAGACCGUCAAGAGGGUGAUGUGAGUGUGACUUGGUGUGAGGAGGCUGCAUUCAAUGAGAGAUCAAGGAAGGCCUCUCUGAGUAGACACUCACUGGGGAGGGGAAGCAUGAGGGUUGUGAGCAGUGUUCAGACAGGUGUCAGAGCAAGUGCAAAGGCCCUGGGGUGGAGUGAGCUUGGAGCAUUCAAGGAACAGCAAGAUGGCCAGAGAGGCUGAAGCAAAAUAAACAGAGGGGGAGAUGGAGCCUGGGCCAUGGGGGCCUCACAGUUCAUGAGACAUGGUGUGGGUUUAUUGUGAGUGGGUGGAAGCCCCUGGAGCCCCUGCAGGAAAUCACCUCAGUCACUCCAUGAUGCCUGAGUGUGUGGUGCUGAUUCUGGGCUAUGGGGCAGGUUGGGGCCUCUGCUGUGUCCUGGGGACAAUGGGAGGAAUCUGCUCCCAGCAAUUAUAAACACAUCACGAGCAAGACGGCAAGAACCCUCUCUGAGGUGAUCAUGUUUGGGAAAGGCCCUCCUAACACACCCCAUUUCCAGGAGCUAGAAUGUCUUGACCUGGCCUAGGACACCACUGUGCAAAUCAAGGGACGUGUGUUCAUUUGAGUGGAUUGCAGCAGCCAGUGUGGGGCCCAGCAUUGGGAAUUAGAUCCAGAUUGUGCUUCUGUGAGAGUUUCUCUCUCUACAAAAGUCAACAGCACCAUGGGAGCUCUGGUCACUUCCCAGGUCAUCAGGAGACUUUGGGGUGAAUUUAUAAGUAGAGGCAGCUGAGCCCUUGUGAAGUUAUCCUAGACAUCUUGGAGGCCUGAGUGGGCCACAUCUCUGCAGGCAGGACCACCAGGCAGGGGGUGGGCAGCUUUGUUGUCAGGGGCAAGGCUGCAAUUAAACAUCUCAUUGCCCUGGCUCCCGCUCUGGGACUGCCUGCAGGAAAACCAAUGAUCAGAAAUGCAGCUGAUGGGGUGCCCAGACUCCUCAGGGCCCUGCUUUCAUCUGAUGACGCUGCUGAGCUUCGCACAUGAACUGUGCCAUCCCAGGAGGCUGUGCUCUCAUGAGGAGGUGUGUGACUGUCUUAAUGAGACGUCCCUGGCACUGAGCCAACCUAAUCUCAGAUCCUCAGGGUGAGUUCUCUGAGCUCUGACUGUCAUCAUCCCCCAUGACAGCCUGGCUGAGUCCCAGGGGAUGGGUGCUCUGAUGCUGAGAUCAUGUAUGGGGCUGUGUGUGUGGAAGUGAGGUAGGAGGUGAGGGCUCCACUCUGGAGCAGAUUGAAGACUGGGUGAAACAGAGAAAAGGCCACAGCGCCUCUCCAUAAGACACGGCCACUAGUGCCAUGACAGUUUACCAUUGCCAUGACAACACUGUGAACUUACCUCACCUUUCCAUGGCAACAACCCCAAGACCUGGAAGUUACCACCGUUUUCCUGAACUUUCUGUGUAAUUCAUUCCUUAAUUUGCAUGUAAUUAAGAGUGGGUAUGUAUAGAUAUACAUGAUUGCAGAGCCGCCCCACCGCUCCCCUCAGCUCACUGACCUGGGCUGAGCCCCACUUUUGGGGCUCUCCUGCCCUGCUUCAGAAGGGGACACCCCAGCAUGCACCAGCCCACACCCCGCCCCCUCUGUCCUCUUCCCCACUCACUGGCCUCAUUGGGGAAUGCUUGGAAUUAUUCCAGGACAGCUUUGUCCUUUGCCCGGUGCUGUGUCCCCAGGUAAACAGUGGGUGCCUGCAGAGAGAGGUCCUCACGGGGACAGAGCCUCCAGCCCUCUCCACUACCCCGACACACAGAGGAUACACACGGGUGAGCUGGAUGCAUUGAUGAACUUGGAAUGUCGUGGUCCCCAGAGGAGGCUCACAAGGUGCCCAGCAGCAGCUGAAGCAGAGCCUUGAGCAAGGGGCACGCCUGUUCUGACAUCACCCCCUCCCUGCUGCAGGGAGAGGUGGCACACUCUCCCACCCACACCGCCUGGGUUCACUGUGUUAGGGGAGGGUGCUGGCAGGGAUCAUAAGGUUUGAUUUCCAGAAGUCAUGGGGGCUGGAGACGAUCCAGGUCUGGGUCAACUUGGGAGAAAUAGGAGGGAGACCUAGGGUUGCCAGAUUAGGAAAUAAAAAAGGAAGGAUGUGCAGAUAAACCUCCAUUUCUGCUAAAAUAUGCGUGUGUGCAAGGACAUAGAUAUCUAUGUACACACAGGUUCGCAUUAGCGGUGGCAGUGAGGACCUUUCUAUGACGUCCGGGUGACAUAGGCCGCCUUUGCAAAUAUGCGUGUGUGCAAGGACAUAGAUAUCUAUGUAGACACAGGUUCGCAUUAGCGGUGGCAGUGAGGACCUUUCUAUGACGUCCGGGUGACAUAGGCUGCCUUUGCUUUGUGGGUGUCCUCGCCACAGCUGGGGCCCUGGGUGCUUUGCAGGGGACCAUCCCCUCUCACGAGCCAUCCUACUCCCCAAAGCACCUCCCUGCCCCUCCCGAGGGGCCCGCGUUCAUAGGCACUCACAGAUUUUUUUUCAAGAGGAGCUCAUGGUUGCUUAUUUCUAAUGUUCUACUUUGCUUGGAAAAAUUUGAUCCAGUCUGAAUUUUCCUGUCAAUUCAGGAAAUUGAUCAGUCCUGAAAAAUGACUUGUUUUUUGUUGCUGUUGUUGUCCGAAACUGCUUCUCUUUGAAGUUUAGUGAAAUGAGAAAGUAGCCUGGGGUUGAUAAAUCUGUAUUGAUUUUACCUGGAAUACCUUACAUCUUUUGAUUUCAACCCUUCUUAGAUUUCAGGAAAGCUCUCUUAAUUGUAUCUCUGGAAUCUUCUCCAUUUCACUUUUCUCUUCUCUGCAGAAACAAACUAUGCAAACGCCUUACCUCUUUGUGCUUUCUUUUUUUUCUUUUUUUUUUUUUGAGAGACAGAGUCUCGUUCUGUCACCCAAGCUGGAGUGCAGUGGCGUGAUCUUGACUCACUGCAACCUCUGCCUCCUGGGUUCAAGCAAUUCUCCUGCCUCAGCCUCCCAAGUAUCUGGGAUUACAGGCAUGUGCCUCCACACUUGGCUUAUUUUUUGUAUUUUUAGUUGAGAUGGGGUUUCGCUAUGUUGGCCAGGCUGGUCUCGAACUCCUGACCUCAGGUGAUCUGCCCGCCUUGGCCUCCCAAAGUGCUGAGAUCACAGGCGUGAGCCACCGUGCCUGGCCCUGUUUGUGCUUUCAUAUGAAUUGUUUUCUCUUUAAUUCUUCUUGAAAUUAUUUCUGUUCCGUUUAUUUUGCAAAUGUAUCCUGCUUGUUGCUGCUGUUUUCAACCGUGCCCUUUCUCCUUCUUUCUGUGAUGAUGCCUCCAUUUCUGUGAUGUCUGACUUUUUUCCUUCCUCCUCUUUCUUGAGCGCCGCCACCUCGGUUUUCUUCACCUCUUGUUGUCUGUCUUCUGAGGUCUUCCUCGAGCCUGUGCCUCUGCCACAAGUUCCUGAUCCACGGAGGCCACAGGUAACAUCCGGUUGUUUGAACCCGUGGAGAACUGCGGGGCACGGUUCUCCUCUGCUUCUCAGCCACGCCGUCCCGCCAUGCGUUCUUCACCCGCCUUUUGUCGGUUGCUGCCUCCCUCCCUCCAGCUGUCAGCUGUCCCUCUCUCUUCCUUCUUCUCCCUUCCUCCCUCUCCAUGUGUACGGCUUGGACCUUAACCCUCUUUUUCUCUCAAAGACCUGAAAUGUGGGGGUCCUAGGGGGCCCCUCUUCAGAGCCACACUUACAGCCAGCCAGUUGCAAAGAGGGCAGGUAGAUUCCACACCAUCUUCCACAGCCCGCUGCCUGCCACUCUCUGCAGCUCAAAUUUCAGGGGCUCCUGCAGCCGAGACAUGGACCCUACUUUACACCAAGCAGAGGGCCGUGGGGUUCCCUCGUGUGACUGUGAGGUUUGCUGGAGACUGCGAGCCUGCCCGUGCGGGCUCUGCCCUGCCUGGUGCCCAUCCUGUCUCCGAUCCACCCGCACGCCGCAUCCUGGAUCCUCACCUCCCGCACCCAUGGAUUUCAGCAUCCAGUGUUUCUUGGUGUUCCCUCUCACAGGCCCAGUUCCUCAUGGACCUGAGACCUUCCCACCCAGCGUCUCCCCGAACACGGCCGGUAGUGUUCAGCCUUUCUCCACUCCUUCUCCGCCACUCGACUUCUUGCCAGCUGGUGUCCAGUUACGUUUUGGCAAAGGUGGUCACCGGGCAGACCUGGAGAGAGGGAAGUCAUGGAAGCCCUCUCUGCUCUCUGCAGUGGCGUCGUGAGGCGUGGUCUCUGAAUAACAGAAGAUCUUCUUCAGAAACCUCAAGCUCCGAUGAUGCCUUCAGACCCAUGAGGAUGGAGUGUGAAAUUCCAUGAAUAUCGAGUCUAUUUUCUGGACCCCAGAGCUGUGCGUCUUCCUCUCUGUCGGGCUCAUUCUGAAGCACAGUCCCAGCAUCCAUAUGGCAGAUGCAGCAUCCACGUGGCAGACGCUUCCUGGACACUCUUAACAGCAUCCACAUGGCAGACGCUUCCUGGACACUCUUAACAGUCACAGGACACUUGGGCUAGUCAGGACACAGAGGACACAGCAGGCUGCAGCUGCAGAGCUUGAAAAGAUUUAUUUUAAAAGCCCAAGGGGAUAAAUACAGCAUCUCUCACAUUACUCCAUAUUAAAAAUAUUUGGAUUAAUUAUAUUAAAAAUUUGCAUUCAAAAGCAUGUAUGUAAAUAGGAGUUAAAAAUUGCAGAGUGGGUAGGCAGAGAGUGUCUCCCCUCAAGCAUCUCCAGGGGAGCAGAGCCUCUGAGCUCCACCUGGUCUGGCUGGCACUGCUCGGCUGGCACUCUGAUGAGUGAUGAGUGUUGAACUGGUGAGUGUCGGACUGGCUGGGUUGGGGGCCCAUGCCCCCUGUGAAGCAAAACUUGAGGUAGACCUCACCCCCAAUCCCUGGCCUGAGGCUGUGGGUGCUUUUCUGAGGAAGGCCAAUAGGCUGUCUUUAGAGUUGGGGUCCGAUGCCUGCCAUGUGGACUCUUCUCAGAUGGUGACCAUGCUGGGUCCACUCGUGUCUCUGUCCCGUCUCCUGUGCUGCUGACUUUGUGCAGAAACCAUGGUUCCUGGGCCCAGACCCUGAGAAGCCAUCCUCAUGCCCCUCCCAGCCCCAGCACAUCUGCCCAGCCUUCACCAGACUCAUUCUGCUCCUGCCAGGGAGGCGGUGCCAGCCCACUAUUCCUCUUGGACAGGGUGCCUGUCUUACCAUGUGGAGAUGCCAGGACCAAUGAGAUAAAGUAGGGGCACAGAUUCCCAGAGAACGAAGGUGCC